CACAGGAACGUUCCCUGAAAACUUAUUCUGGAAAGGCUUUCUACUAACUUUAAUGAAGAGAAUUUUUAGCAUUUUCAGAUUAACCAGAAAGAGAAGUAGGAAAGCCCCUGGAGUUUAGGAGAAUCACUUUGGCAGCUGUAUGAAACAUGCAUGAAGAAAGACCUGGAAGAAGAUCAGUGAGGAAACAGUCCAUAUGCAGAGAAUACAAAGAUCUAAGACAACUCCAAAAGACUCAUGAU